rfam:BtMr-AlphaCoV/SAX2011, complete genome
AUAACAUCUUGCACUGGCUACUUAGUGAUAUGCGGCCCCUAGGCUUCCUCCUUUGGAUCCUAGUUAUUUUGGGCCUGGUCUUAUACACAACGGUAGUCCAGUGGUAAUUUCAGUAUAAGAAGGAAAUCACCAUAUUGCAGAUCCGAGGUGAACGCUAUGUUUUAACUAUCUAACACGGAGUUGGAGUGAUUUAAAGAUCGCUUUGACGAGCCAACAAUGGAAGAGCCAACACGUGAUUUAGCUACGCAUAGUUACUAACUUAAGACAGUUCUGCUUUGCUAUGGAUACAC